rnacentral:rRNA from 1 species
UACAGAGGGUACGAGCGUUAAUCGGAAUUACUGGGCGUAAAGCGCACGUAGGUGGCGACGUAAGUCGGGUGUGAAAGCCCCGGGCUCAACCUGGGAAUUGCAUUCGAGACUGCAUUGCUGGAGUACGGAAGAGGAAGGCGGAAUUCCCGGUGUAGCGGUGAAAUGCGUAGAUAUCGGGAGGAACAUCAGUGGCGAAGGCGGCCUUCUGGUCCAGUACUGACACUCAAGUGCGAAAGCGUGGGGAGCAAACAGG